CCUACGGGAGGCAGCAGUGGGGAAUAUUGGACAAUGGGCGAAAGCCUGAUCCAGCCAUGCCGCGUGUGUGAAGAAGGUCUUCGGAUUGUAAAGCACUUUAAGUUGGGAGGAAGGGCAGUAAGCGAAUACCUUGCUGUUUUGACGUUACCGACAGAAUAAGCACCGGCUAACUCUGUGCCAGCAGCCGCGGUAAUACAGAGGGUGCAAGCGUUAAUCGGAAUUACUGGGCGUAAAGCGCGCGUAGGUGGUUUGUUAAGUUGAAUGUGAAAUCCCCGGGCUCAACCUGGGAACUGCAUCCAAAACUGGCAAGCUAGAGUAGGGCAGAGGGUGGUGGAAUUUCCUGUGUAGCGGUGAAAUGCGUAGAUAUAGGAAGGAACACCAGUGGCGAAGGCGACCACCUGGGCUCAUACUGACACUGAGGUGCGAAAGCGUGGGGGAGCAAACAGGAUUAGAUACCCUGGUAGUCCACGCCGUAAACGAUGUCAACUAGCCGUUGGAAGCCUUGAGCUUUUAGUGGCGCAGCUAAACGCAUUAAGUUGACCGCCUGGGGAGUACGGCCGCAAGGUUAAAAACUCAAAAUGAAUUGACGG
rnacentral:rRNA from 1 species